AGUGAUGUCUCCCUAUGGUGUACACAGGUGCUAGAGUGUCCUUUAACAUCAUGGACUAUGAUGCAGCACACUUUGUAAGAUCUUCCGAUCCUUCCAGAUGAUGCAAUUUCAGCUGGCAGGAUUGAUGACUGAUGCCAGCAGCAGAGGAAAUCUGUUGGCAUUCACACCUACAGAUGAUGACAACAGCACCUAGAAUGGUGACAGUGACGUGAGAUUGGAUAGCUGACUUCUGGCAGAAGCCAAAGUGAAAGUGAGAAGAGCAAUCUGCCUUUUAGAGGUCUGGUAUAAUACAACACCCGUCAGAUGGCAUUACCUCCUUUGUGCUUCUAAAGAGAAAGCCCCGGUCAAGCUGAUGUUAUUGUUCACACCGCAGCUGAGUUAACUCCUUCAGCUGCUGAGAAAAACAGACUUCUUGUUGCUAAUGGUAUCCCUCCCUUCUGCUUAGCACUUAUAAAACUGACUACCUGGGCAGUACGUGGGUGAGAUGUUUUG
rnacentral:lncRNA from 1 species